rnacentral:rRNA from 1 species
GACGAACGCUGGCGGCGUGCUUAACACAUGCAAGUCGAACGGAAAGGCCCUGCUUUUGUGCGGUUCUCGUGUGGCGAACGCGUGAGUAACACGUGAGUAACCUGCCCUUGACUUUGGGAUAACUUCAGGAAACUGGGGCUCAUACCGGAUAUGAUCUCCUGCUGCAUAGUGGUGGUUGGAAAGUUUCGGCUUUUGGGGAUCGACUCGCGGGUUAUCGGCUUGUUGGUGGGGUAGUGGCUUACCAAGUCUUUGACGGGUAGCCGGCCUGGGAGGGUGACCGGCGACAUGGGGACUGAGAUACGGCCCAGACUGCUACGGGAGGCAGCAGUGGGGAAUAUUGCACAAUGGGCGGAAGCGUGAUGCAGAAGCGCCGCGUGCGGGAUGACGGCCUUCGGGUUGUAAACCGCUGUCGCCUGUGACGAAGAGUGAGUGACGGUAAUGGGUAAAGAAGCAACGGCUAACUACGUG